CACGUAGGCGGACCAUCAAGUUGGGGGUGAAAUCCCGGGGCUCAACCCCGGAACUGCCUCCAAGACUGCUGGUCUGGAGGUCGAGAGAGGUGAGUGGAAUUCCGAGUGUAGAGGUGAAAUUCGUAGAUAUUCGGAGGAACACCAGUGGCGAAGGCGGCUCACUGGCUCGAUACUGACGCUGAGGUGCGAAAGCGUGGGGAGCAAACA
rnacentral:rRNA from 1 species